AUAUAUCUGGUCCAGAUUACACAAGUGUUCUAGAUAUGUUUGAGUAUGCAUAAACCUCAUUGGUGUAUCGUUUCUUGAUUGAUUGGUAUUUUGGAUCAUGGAUAGGUGUGAGGAUGACUCCUUUCCAUCUAUCGAUUGGGUACUUGAACUUGCCAAGUCUGCAGUUGUUCGAUAUGGCAUUCGCGGACUUGUUAUUGAUCCAUACAACGAACUUGAUCACCAACGUUCUUCAAAUCAGUGAGUGAUUCUUCAACUACAUUUUUGUUCACAUAAACUGUUUCCUGCCAUGUAAAUCUACUCUAUUUGGUUUAACAUUUCUGGUAACAGAACAGAAACGGAGUAUGUGAGCCAUAUGCUUACUAAGAUCAAGCGCUUUGCUCAGCACCACGCUUGUCAUGUAUGGUUUGUGGCACAUCCAAGACAGGUAUACCUUCUAAUGUAUCCUAUAAUCUAUUAAUGUUCUGCUUCUAUCAUCUUCUUAAUGUAAACAUGUCUUCAGCUACAAAACUGGAGGGGUUAUCCCCCUAAUCUGUACGAUAUUAGUGGAAGUGCACAUUUUAUAAAUAAAUGUGACAAUGGAAUUGUCAUUCAUCGAAAUCGGAAUCCAAAUGCUGGCCCCCUUGAUCGUGUUCAGGUUCACUUGUCUUCCUUUGCAGUCCAUUAGUUUCUAUUUUCCAUUUUUAAUUUAUUUUUGCAUAUUGCAUAGGUUUGUGUGCGGAAGGUGCGAAACAAGGUCUCUGGGAGAAUCGGAGAUGCUUUCCUCUCAUAUAAUCAGUAUAUUUCUAUUAUGCUUAUGAAUCAUUUAUUGCCCACUAUGUUCUGUCAAAAUCCUGUUACCUUGAAGUUCUUAAAAUACCUACUAUUCUUUUUUAGAUAUUUUAACUUGGUUACACUAAAAUGGUUGCUUGUAGCCCAGGAAGGUCCAUUAUUGUUUCAGUCCACAUCUUAUUCUUCUACUUUAGUAUGGGGGGUCUUUGUCAUCUACCAUUUGCCUUGUAUUAAUAUGUUAAAAACUCAUGUUAAAGUGAUGUUAACAACGAAGUGAAGAGUGGUAGAUGACGAAGCUUUCUUGUAUGACCUACUAUUAUAUGUUUCUGGCUGAUCAAUGUGUGUACAUGUAGAAUGGAAACUUGCAAUGCUUCUCCUUGCAUUAUGGUAGCAAGUCGAAGCAUGAGCGACUCUGACCAUGAUACAUCUUUGUGUGUUUUCACUAUCCAAAAACCUCAAUUGGGAAUUUUAAUCGACAGCUGUUGCUAACUGCAGUCUUUUUUUUUUUUUUUUUCGCAGAACCACAGGAAAAUUCGAGGAUUGGCAUGAUGGGGGCUAUAACAAUUAGGAAGCAACUUAGAUGAGUUGCCUCUGUGACACUGCAUUCAUACACAGAUAUCGGAUGAUCAAGUUUUGAGGUCCAAGCUGUAGCUAGGCUGUAGCUAGAGCGCCAGAAUGGAGAACAGUUUCGGAGCCCCAAUCAACCAUUAGGGGCUGUUCACUGUUUCCGGACGGGCAGUGGUCUACUUGUUCGGCUGUAAAAUAUUUGGUGGCUGUCCACCGUUUGGAAGAUGAAACCCUGUUGUUAGGCGCAUUAAAUGACAUGUGUUCUCAUGUGUAAGGUGAUAUGUUUGAAGAUACAGAGAUUGCAAUGUAACAUGAUAGCUUCCGAGUCUUGUGAAAUGUACAGGUGAAACUGAGAGAUAUCCACGUAUUAGGUUAUGAAGAAAGCCUACAUGCAAGGUAUUAUUGUAUUUGAUGAACACUUUUAUGUGAUUGCCUCGAGUGGUAGUAAUGCAUGUUUAUGUUCUUCACCUCACGACGAUGUGAAGAAGAAUCUAUGGCUCAUCGAGCAUCCGAUGGCAGAUCCAAUCUCGAGACAUCUUCGAGUCGUCCUUUUUCUUUUUGAUUCGAACCGUUGUUGCUUUUCCACCUCUUUUAUGCUGUCAAUUUUCUGUCUAUAAUCUAUCCGAGAAAGGUCAACCUCCCAAAACUUGUUGCCGGGAGGCGGUCAACCCUCCGUCGCACGCCGCGCCUGUGGGGUCCACGAAUCUUCGCCAGCCCCACCCUCCCAAAACGCGCUUCUCCGCCCAUUAGCCAAUCCCCACCUCCAUAAAAAGAUAAGGAAUCCAAACUUCCGUACCCUCCCGACCUACCCGAUCGCAUCGUCUCACAAACGACUCCAGGCCCCACAAUAGCCAGACGCUUAGUCUUACAAUCGCCACACGGGGUUGGCCGCCAGCGGGUACCGAAGAAUAAUAACAUCCGGGAAUCGAGGACAACGGCUCCCUGAGGUGGCGUCAUUUCAUUGGCUUUUUCCACCCUUUCCGUUCGGGUCCCUCGAAGGAAACAAAAUAGCCGUUGGAGAGAGAGAGAGAGAGAGCCGUUUUUAAUAUUAUUUAUAUUAGUAAUCGUUCUCCCUCUUCUGUCGGCAACGAGCGAACGGAGCACAAUAAAUAAGAAACCAUCCUUCUCUCCCUGUCCGUUGUGGUGGCUUUCCUCGUCUGCUGUCUCCCUCAUAUCCCCCGUUGCGAUCGUGAAGCUGCCGUCCCAUCCGCCGUCCACCAUGACUUACGAGGUGAGUUCAGAUGCCGGAGCCCCGACGGCCGCGGAUCCCGUCGAAGAGAAAGUUGCGGCCGCCGCCGAUGGCGACGAGAGGAAAACAGAAGUGGAUACCAAGGUUGUCGCCGACGUGGAGGAGAAGAAAAUGCCGGAACCGCCGUCCUCGGACCAUCCUUCCGUCGAGAAGUGCUCCUCCUUCAGGGAGGAGAGCAACUUCUUGUCGGACCUGAAGGAGGCCGAGAAGAAGGCGCUCAUCGAGCUCAGAGCCAAGGUCGAGGAGGCCAUCCUCGAGGGCAAGCUACUCCUCGCGAAGCAAGAGGAGCAGAAGCCGAUGGAGAAGAAGGAAGUGGCCGAGGAGAAAGGCAAGACCGAUCAUGAAACCCGAGAAGGCGGGGAAGGUGAAACGGCGAUGCUUGAUCAAACCAAGGAGAAGAAGGAAGAGGUCACGGAGAGAGAAAAGGCCGAUCCUGAAGCCCAGGGAGGCGGGGAAGGUGAACAGGCGAAGCUUGAUCGAGGGAAGGAGGAGGAGGAAGAGGUCAAGGAGAAAGAAUGCGGUGAAGGUGAAAAGGCGAUACCUCGUCAAGCGAAGGAGGAGGAAGAGAAAGAGAAGGUCGAUCCUGAAACCCGAGAAGAAGGGGAAGAAGGCGAAAAGGUGAAGCUUGACCAAACGGCGGAUGUGAAAGCGGAAGAAAAGGCGGCGCCUUUGGAGGAGAAGGCCAUCGCGACUGCGGCGUCCGAGGCCAAGAAUGUCGGAGACAGCGACAAGGAGGCCACCCUCUGGGGCGUGCCCCUCCUGCCGAGCAAAGGCUCGGAACGCGCCGACGUGAUCCUCCUAAAGUUCCUCCGCGCCCGCGAUUUCAAGGUGAAGGAUGCAUUCGAGAUGCUGCGGAACGUACUGGUAUGGAGGAAGCAGUUCCGCAUCGACUCCAUUCUGGACGAGGAGUCGCUGGGAGCCGAUUUUGUGGCUGCGUGCUACAUGGACGGCGUCGACCGGGAGCGGCAUCCGGUGUGCUACAACAUGCCGGGCGUGUUCCAGAACGACAAUCUGUACCAGGAGACCUUUGGGUCGGAGCAAGGGAGGGAGAGGUUCCAGCGGUGGAGAGUGCAGCUGAUGGAGAAGGGGAUCAAAGCGCUCGACUUCAAGCCCGGCGGGGUCGCCUCACUGCUGCAGAUCACCGACCUCAACAACUCGCCGGGCCCGUCCAAGAAGGAGCUUCGCACCACCAUGAAGCAGGUCGUGCAGCUGCUUCAGGAUAACUACCCGGAACUCGUCGCGAGAAAUGUGAGUGCCAUCGCCAUUCCCAGUUUGAUCCCGUAAAAGAGCAAUCUUUAGAGAGAUUAAUCGCUUCCUGUUGUUGGUUCUUCUUCUUCUUCUUCUUCUUCACUGUCCUGAUUGCAGAUCUUCAUCAAUGUUCCUUUCUGGUACUACGCAUUCCACGCUCUGAUCUCUCCUUUCUUGACCCAACGAACCAGGAGCAAGUUCGUCUUCGCUCGUCCCGCAAAGGUCGCAGAAACUCUUCUCAGGUAAGGAAGAAUCUGGAAUUCGUCCGACGACGAUCACAUCUCCUUGGCACUAAACAGCACAAGCAUCGCCGCCUUCUCCAGGUACGUCCCUGCCGAAGCUGUCCCCGUCAGAUACGGCGGUCUUAAGCGCGACGACGACACCGAGUUCUCAGCAGAAGACGGCGGGGUUUCGGAGGUCAUCGUCAAAUCUAACUCCACCGAGACCCUCGAGAUCCCUGCUCCUGAGGUAACACUUUUUGUUGCUGUGCUCAUGGAGCGAAUCUCUUGGGCUGAUAACAUCAUGUUAAACAGGGUGGGACGACGAUCUUCUGGGACCUGAGUGUUCUGGGAUGGGAGGUGAGCUACAAGGAGGAGUUCGUGCCCACCGACGAGGGAUCCUACACCAUCGUCGUUCGGAAGAGCAAGAAGAUGGCGGCGGCGGAGUUGCCUGUUCGGAACUCGUUCCGGAACAGCGAGCCCGGCAAGGUCGUGCUGACGAUCGAGAACAACUCAUUCUGGAAGAAGAAAGCGUUGUAUCGCUACAAGAUCAAGAAGAGCUGUUGAGAACCAACGACGAACUCCAUGAAUCCGUACUCGUGGCGGAGAUGCUGUAAUUUUAGGAAGGAUACUAGAAAUUUGUUGUUUAUUUAUAUAUUAUUUAUUAUCGUAUAAUUCGUUCAAAAAAGAAUGCAUUGUUAUUUCAAAAUAAGCGUAAUAAUAAUAACAAUACCUCCAAAUUUAGUUCCAAUGUUAAUAAUGUCAAUCAAUAUUAAGUAGGAAGUCAAAGAGACUUUUAUUUUUUUAUUCUUCGAAAAUAAUAAUUACUAAGCACAGUAAAUCAAUAAUUCCGGAAGAAGAUAGAGAGCAAUCAAUCGGUCGGUCAUACCACAACGGAAGAGCAUAACUUUGGUCAACCAGUCUUGGAGAAGCAAUCGAUUGGCUGUCGAGCUGGUGGUCUUCGUCUGUGAGCUGAUGUAACUCUGCUCCGAUUCUUCAUCAACUUGAAGAAGAAAAAUUCGAAACAUCAAAGUUAGGACAUAAACAAAUUAAAAUAUUCCAAUAUAUUCAAAAAUCAAAUCGUUUAUAACGAGCUAGAAGAGUGCAGAGAACGAGAGAGAGAGAGAGAGAGAGAGAGCGCAUACUUGUUCAUGGGCCGGCCCUAAGAAACAUCAAGAUCUGCAGUUCUCCUCGAGAAACAUCAAGGAGUUUUUGAAUAUGGAUCCGACGGAGUAGGUGGUGUCGGGCUUAAGAUCCAAUGAGCACCGCCAGAGUGACGGACGGAGCACAUCGGCCUCUGCUUGCCUCGUUGUAAUAGAUGUCGAUCCGCUCAAGAUGUAAGGUCGGAGUCGCCAAUGUACCUGUCGCUGCCGUCGAUCCUAUACUCGUUGUAGAUCACCUCCCAGAAGUUUGCCCCCCAAUUAGUUUCCGCUCUGCCAACCCUGGAUGUGCAUCAUCUCCCUCAUCGUCGAGCGUCGCCUCCGCAGCUCAACAAUGAUCUUAAAAUUAGGGUUUUCGAUGGUUGGAGAACGAGAUAUAGGGUCCGAACCGAAUCGAAUUAUUUUGUAAUUAAAGUAAGAUUGUCUGAAUCCCAACCGAUUCAGACGUUUACUUAAUUAAUUAAUUAAUUAAUUUUGAAUCUAACAUAAUCGACUCAAAAUUAAUUAAUCUAAUUUAUAGUUUUAAAUAUUUUUAAAAUAUAUAUUCUGAAUCGANNNNNNNNNNNNNNNNNNNNAUAUAUUUAAAAAUAUAUAUUCUGAAUCGAUAUAUUUUUUUUGAACUGUAUAUAUAUAUAUAUAUAUAUAUAUAUAUAUAUAUAUAUAUAUAUAUAUAUAUAUAUAUAUAUAUAUAUAUAUAUAUAUAUAUAUAUAUGAUUUAUAAAAAUUAAACCCAUACCAUUUGUAAAAUUAGAGAUUUGGAUUGGUUUAAUUAAUGAAUCGAUAGUGAACUCAAUUGGACUAAUAUCUUUUAAAUUUAAAUCAAUCCCGUUUGAAUCAAUUAAUUAAAUUAUUUAUUAGUUUCUCAUUAAAUCAUUUUGACAAUCUUAUAAUCUUAGAUAAAAUCAUAUAAGAUACUUUUAUAAUUUAAAAAAAUAUGUUAACAUCCUGAAAAUAUUGAGAUACUAAAUACUGCUGCAAUCUUAGGAUUUUGAGAAAAAAAUUAUCAAAUAUCAAGUUUAUAUUUGAUAUGUAUAUUAGUUUUAAAUGUUUUCUAGAAGGAAGAUUGUUGGGAUCCGGUCACCGAUUUAUUCGCACCAUCGCAUAUAGGCAUGGCGGCGAUCGUUGCCAUCUUUCAAAUUCUAUUCUUGAAUCGGGUGAUCUCAGAUGCGGUGACCAUACCUCAUCGUUUGCCUUGUCGCACAGAGAUAUUAUGCAGCGAAGCGCAUACGGAACGAGACGGAAAGGGCGCUUCGCGUCUUCGUUACAUUGGACGGUGGACAUUGGCCUAGCCGGCAGAAUGGACGGUCGCACAUCGAUUAGAUUCUAUGCGGGUCAUUCGGCGUGGGGCCGCUCGUAUCGGGUUGGUCGGGAGAGACGACUCUCUUAUCCGCUGCGUGAGCCGCCGUGGGUAGUGUAUGAAUGGAAGAGCAUGCUUCUUCGAUCGUCGUCACGUUUACUUGCUUCUUUGGGCAGUGUAUGCACGGAAGACGAUACUCCCUGUCGCUCGGACGUGGAAAGUCUGUGAUGGUAGCAGAAUGAUCCACGAAUUCCUCCAUUGUCGUCAUGUGUUUUUUCCACGGUGAUGCUAACUAAACAUUGAAGUCUCGGAGCAAAUAGUAUGAAUCAAGGAACAAGAAUCCAAAACGAGAAAGAACAUCAAGACACGGACUAAAUCAGACACUAAUCACCGUGCGCGUGAGGGCAGAAGACUGUUGUUCUAUGCUCAGCUGCAGCUCUUAUUGUUAGCUCAAGCCUGAUCAAUCCUUUUCCAUCGUUUCUAAUGACGUGCAGAACCUAUCUCGUGAUGGCUUCUGAGAUAUUUUUUAUCUCGUCGCCAAGCCGUCAAAACACGACAGAAACGAAAGCAACACUUUGACGGAUUUUUCUGACACUUGGAGGUCGCCCUACAUCAUUGACAAUUACUCCUCAUCAGCUAACUCACUCACUCGAGGGUUGUGGACCAUCACACUUGUGAACCACUGCUUCACAUGGACUGUACAGAUAGAUCCUCCACAGCUUUUGUUCUUCUGAUUCCGCAAGUGCUCUUCGAGACCAAUUUGGCGUGAAGUACUUGGAUUAUCUUUGAGUUGAGGUUUCCUUUAGCUGGGCAAGUCUAUUGGAAUAUAUGCUAAACUUUGUGAUUAGAUGGAAUUCUGAUUUAAGAAUCUUAGUUAAGACAAAAAUGGAAGAUUCUCGACCUGAGAUGAGAUGGUCGCCGUCGUCGCGAGCAACCUCUACGUCGUCUUCGUGACGUCCAACCCCCAAGCAACCGCCUCUUAUCCCUUGGGACCCUCCACAAGGGCGACGUGUUCGUCUUUCUCGUUGGCUCCAUUCACUUUCAGUUCGAAGUGCAUGAAUGAAAUUUACCUGUCGAUGCUGAAAAUCUCACCAACUCCGAUUGACCAUCUCCCUCCAGUCGACAAGCGUGAAACGAAGUUCGGUGGAAGGAACAACUGCCCACCAUCCCUUAAUUUGACGUCUUUCUUGUACAUGAAUUGGAUCGACAACGAUCGAAAAUUAACACCAGCAAUGGGUUGUUAGCAUGGUGCUAAUGAGGAGGAAGGUGGGGUGCUGGCUUGCAGACCAGAAUGUUGUCCGGGAAGGGAAGAUGCUCGGAGGAAUCAGACCAAUGAGUUUCAACGUCAUUCUCUUGGGCAAGUGGUGGUGGAGCAUUACGAUGACCGAGACUUCUCUUCUGGCCGAGAUCAUCAAAUGUGGAGGUAUUAAAGGAGAUGGAAAUUUGAUCAGUCCCUCCGGUAGCUAGGUUUUCUUCUUUCCUCCACUAACAGAUGGAUAUAUUCCAAGAUCAGCAUUGUAUAGCUUCUUACUUUACUCGUCAUUUUUGGCUGAGUCGAUCGAUCGGUCCCUCCCAAUUACUGUCGAGGCUUUCGCCUGGAUGGCUGUCGAUAAUGUGACCGACCAGUCUAAUUAUGAGGUGAAGAGAGCAAGGAUGUGCCAGUUAUAAUUCUCGGGAGACACAUGUUCUUGCAAUGCCAAGUUGCCAAGAAGGGUAUGGUCCUGCAAGGUUCUGAAACCUUAUCCCUAUUAAGGCAGGCGGCCAACCUUGUUCUUCUGUGCAGACAAGAGUUUCAUGUGUUCCGAGAAGGACAUUUCACUUGGAUAGAUUCACUAAUCACCACAAGCUUUAUUUUUAUUAUAGAACAAACCAUACACCGAGGUAAACCUCAUGACGUCAUUAAAGCAUGCAUGGCAUACGAGAGUAUCUUAAUUGGCUUGUACUAAGCGUUGUCUAUAUUCUUGAGAGAUGUCCAACCACUGCUGCUGCUGAAGCCAGCCCACGGUCGUCUUGCUAAGCUGCACGGCCUGGGCAAGAAUGUAAUCAGCGAUGGGCGGCUUCGAUCCGAACAGUGCGUUGGCGGUGGUGACGAGACCCGGGCUCUGGCUGCCAAAGGUAGCGAACGCCACCGCAUCGGUGUCCCCGAUGUUGAACUGGAAGUGUAUGAGGCCCCUGGGGAACACAAACGCGUCGCCCUUCUGCAGCUUCUUCGCGAAGAGAAGGUUGCCGUUUUCCGUGUUGGAGGUGACGAAGCCGGCGUAGAGCGUUCCUUCCGCCACGUGCAGUAUCUCCGACGAUCGUGGAUGCGAGUGAGGAGGGUUGAGACCGAAGGGCGCGUAGUCGAUGCGAGACAUGGCGACGCCAAGGGAGUUGAGGCCUGGGAGUCGUUCCACGUUGACGAGAGUGAUGUUUGCGCCUAGCUCGUUGGCGGUGCUCGCGGGCUUGUCUAAGCCGGUGAAGUAGAAGUCAUCUGCCGUGACAUCCUUAGCUUUCUUGCAGGCGAAUCCGUUCACAAACACUGCAGCGUGCACGAUGAACAGGCUUUAGCAACUUGAGCAAGUACACACACGAGGACCUAACUAGCUAGCUACGAGGAUAACGAUGCCUACCGUUGGAGUCGUAGUCAGCAACGCAAAAGUCUUGGAGAGGACUCGGAUCAAAUGCCAAUGCAUGAGAGGAAGCCAGGGCAAGAAGAGCAGCGAUGAGGGUGAUCCUAGCAGCCAUCUGCACUCUCUUCGAACAAGCAAGAUGAAAUGAUGCAAGUUUCUUUGUGACUGGCCUCAGGAAUCGGGAUGUAUAUAUAGAAGGCCCCGUGGUAGUGUUCAAUUGUGAACUGGUCGAUAGAGUAUGUAUUCCGCACGGCAGUGUGCUGACUAAUUCAGCUGAUGACGACCUCGACUGCCAAUGACAACUCCCUCAGUUCCAACCUAGAUCUACCACUAACCUAAGGUUCAUGAAAGUUUUGGUUGGAUAAUAUGUCAUUUUGGAGCAUCCAACAUCGACCCUUCUGCCCCAUCAGUAUCACGUUCUUGACAUUUUUAUAUCUUGGUGGCAAUGACCAGUUAAUAGCCAAUGAAAUUUUAUCAGCCAAUGCUUCUACACUACCAAAUUUAGUAUGUAAUCGUGGUAUCAUAAUUGAGGAUAUGAGGAAGAAGUUGAGAGCAAUUUGUCUUGCUUCAUUUUAUGCGCUAAACUCCACUGCGGCAGCCGAAUGCCUUGACUCCUUGUUCACUUGUCGACCAAGGAACUUUGAAUACUGAAACUUCUUCCACGUAUGCUUCUGCAUGGAAAUUUUAGUUCCUUCGGUCAUUAAAGAGACAAAACAAGAAAGCUUAACUGAUUGAAACGCGAAAAUGAUCGGAUAUUCAUAUUCUAAUUUGAGCCCUUUCUUUCUUCUGCCCAAACGUCAAGUAAUUUUAAGUAAACGAAAACCAUCUGAUAUCGUAUUCUAAUUUGAUAGGUCCGAGCGAGCCAUUGGUUGGCAAGGACUUGAGCCCUUUCUUUCGUUCUUCUGCUCAGGUGCAAGAUGUUUAGCGAAUGCCCAUUAAUUUUCUUGGUUUUCGGAUACCUAUAUAUGCUCUUCCUUGCUGUAUCCGUCAAUCAACGUGAAGAGUAUAAGAUGAAACGUUCUAAACACAAAGAUAAGAAAGCAAUACAAGAGAUGGGACGUCGACGGUGGAAUAUUCGAAGAAGUAUUCAAUUCGGUACGUUCGAUCAUUUCCAAACGUGACUGUGAUGCAAUGAACCUAUCCAGGUUUUGAGAAAGACAUGAGACCGUCACCAGGCAAUAACUAGGGGAUUAGGCAUCAGUACUUGGCAUGUUUUAUUAUUAUUAUCGCUUGAAUCGCAUCGAAAGCUCGACUGACCUCUCAUCUUGUCAAAUCACAACAACAAGUAAAACAACGACUAUGAAGGAUCGCUGAUAUGCCAUUUACUCACAAAGAGCCGUUGACCAUGUUGCACUGGAUCACCCACUUACCUAGUGAUCAUCUCCGGGAAACUUCUCUGCCUUUCACCAAGCUCUCAUCGAGACAUAGAAUAAUGUAAUACUUUGAUGCGGAUGCAGAUGAUCGUAUGCGACGUUCAAGCUCUUCCAGAUCAGUUCUUCAUCUGAUUGUUUGAUAAACGUUAUACACUUUCAACGCGGAUCUAAUCCCUAAUAAACAAAAAGAACUCUCUGUAUUAGAUCUCGGUUAAACUGUUGCACAAGGCAUAUAAGUCAACGAUUGAGCUGACUGUAAAUUUCUUUCGGUGGUCAAAAUCACUACAAUACGACGUGCAUGAACCAUCUCCACCUCCUCUUCCUCUUCUCACUCUAUAAUCUCUCAAUCUCCCCAAAGGCUUCCUCCUCCUCUUAACGCCGUCUCCUACUCUACCUCUAACCCCCUCCUCCCACUCUAUCUCCACCACCACCAUCUUGUUCUCUCACUUUGUCUAAAAAUAAAAAAAAUAUAUAUAUUAAUUUUAAAUUAGUUUCAUUUUGAGUGUUACUAGGUCAAAUAUUCGUUUUUUUUUUCUUUAUGAAAACGAAAAAAAAGGAGAGAAAUAUGUAUUCACUUGUAGUUGGUAGGUUGGACUGAAUCUUUACCUCAAUUUUGUCUUAUGUUGGAGUCCGGCUAGUCCCUUCUAAUUAAGUUCUCGGGCGUCAUCCCGGAUGGCUGUCGACGACGAUAUUUUGACUAAGGCUACUCUAAUUAUUAGGUGACGAGAGCCAGGACGUACAGACUGAGGCUUUCAGAAUUCUCAGGAGACUGCUGACCACCCUUUUGAUUUUGCCGCGUGGCCAAGUUGCCAAGAAGUUUCUCUUGGCCAAUCAUUCAUGGUUCAGAAACCUGGACCUGCACGGUUCUAACCUUUUAUGUAUGCACGAGUUCCUUGUGCUCUAACAUUCCUCAUUCGCCAAGUACACACACAAAGAAGUAGCUAGCUACGAGGAUAACCAUGCCUACCAUUGGAGUCGCAGUCAUCAACACAAAAGUAUUGGAGAGGACUCAGAACAGAUGCCGAUGCAUGAGAGGAAGCCAGGGCAAGAAGAGCAGUUAUGAGGAUGACCCUAGCAGCCAUCUGCACUCUCUUUCGAGAGCUGUCGUAAAUUAAGAUACGAACAAGCAAUAUGAUUUGAGAAUGGCCAGCUUCAGCAGCGGGGACGUAUACAUAGAAGGCUAUUUGGUGAAUUAGUCGAUAGUGCAUGUAUUCUUCACGUUAAGAUGCUGACCAGUUAAGUGGAUAAUGACUGAUGGCAAGCUGCGAUAGUGAAUCCGCCUUCACCACUAAAUGUUAAGAUCAUUUAGUUGAAGCCUGUCGGGCUUCUGCUUGUCGGACGGCACCUCUUCCUUGUUCAAAUAUUAUUUUCAAGAAAGAAAUACUGUGUAGAGAGAGAGAGAGAGAGAGAGAGAGAGAGGGAAACAUUCACACAUUAUAAAUAUUAUUAGUGAUUAUUAUCAGUAGAUAAUAGUGACAGAUGAUAUAUUAGACUGCCGAAUUUUAUGGGGCAUAAACAAGGCGUACGUGAACCCCCCCAUCUUUUAGCACAUUAAGCAUGAUAAAUCAUGGUAUCGUUGACUAUGACGAUGCAAGAAUCAGGACGCAUAGACACAUGCAGCAGUAGUUGGCAUGUUUCUUUGGUCGUAUACAUUGCAAGCUCAUCAUCUCAUCCAAGUGCAACAAAAGUAAAACGACGACUUUGACCGAUUCCUUACGUGGCACUUAUAGCGGUGUUCCGUUUCUCACAAACGGCCAGCCAUUGACCAUUCAAGACCAAUAUAUGAUUGGGCUCGAAUGAGAAGGAUGAUCCUUGGAUGACUAACGUGCUUGUUCCGUCUUCUCGAAUGCUUUGCUUUCAUCGCAUAUGAAUUUGUUGACGGAUCAAGCAUGCACGCAACAAUAGGCACAUUUGCAUACGUCAAUGUUGUGUUUUCCAAAGAGAGGAUGCGUCAGUGUUGAUGACAUGUUGUUGUAUAUUUCAAAUUGGACUUGUGAUUCUUGCAAAUAUGUAGAAUAUUGAACGCAUAGGUAGGUGAGAGGUGGAUGAAAUGCAGCGCAUGAUAUUGUGAUAUUUUGGAUGGAUGAAAACGUUGAAGUGAAGGAAAAUAAAUAAAUCAUCAUCUUCCUCGUCUCCUCUUCAAACCCAAUCCUAUGAUUAAUUUUGGUGACUCGGAAGAAACAGUUCAAGUUUCGAUUGGUAACAUGGAAGUAUCAUCAUUUAGACGAUAAAGAAAGAAAACUAAAAUUUUUAGUUUAUGAAGACGAGAUCGUGUUUGUUCAACCUGAUUCCCGAUGAGAUUUAGCCGAGAAUAUAGCUAAGCAUAUAUCCUCAGAAGAAGAAGAAGACUGCUGAUCAUCUUCCCUUGCAAGCCCAAGUUUGCUACCAAACAUGAGUGAGUCACUUUGGACACACUUGCGGGCAUGCAAGCAAUGUUGUUUAUCUAAAAUUCUGGCUUCCAUAGAAAAAUCAUUAAUAUCAUGCAACUCCACGAUGUCAUGCUGAUUAUCCAAAAUUCUAGCCAGAAAUGCGUUGCUCUUUCAUAGAUACAUCAUUAGUGGUGUGCAACUCCACGUCGGAUACGAAAGGCAAUGCUACUGCUAGCUCGAAGAUGCAGGCAGUCUCUCCUUCCUUCCUUCUAAAGGAGACUUGUUUAUUCAUAACAUAAAUCACACAUGAGGUACUUGGAGUAAUUACAAUCAUGUAUUAUGCAAGCAUAUAUAUAUACAUACUCGACUCGACCAUACGUGAGUAUUUUGUUGGACUGUAUGCAUCUUAAGAAGCGGUACCACACCCUAAGCUUCUUGAGCGAUGUCCACCCACUGCUGCUUCUGAAGCCAGUCCACGGUGGUCUUGUCAAGUUGGACGGCCUGGGCAAGAAUGUAAUCGGGGAUGGACGGGUGCGAUCCGAACAGUGCGUUGGCUACGGUGACGAGGCCAGGGCUCUGGCUGCCAAAAGAAGCGAACGCCACCGCGUCGGUGUCCCCGACAUUGAACUGGAAGUGGAUGAGGCCCUGCGGGAACACGAACGCGUCGCCCUUCUUCAGCUUCUUCGCGAAGAGAAGGUUGCCCUGUUGGUUGUUGGACGUGACGAAGCCGGCGUAGAGCGUCCCUUCCGCCACAUGCAGUAUCUCCGACGAGUGUGGGUGCGAGUGAGGAGGGUUGAGACCGAAGGGCGCGUAGUCGAUGCGAGACAUGGCGACGCCAAGGGU
rnacentral:lncRNA from 1 species